GCCUUCAUGGUGUAGUGGUUAGCAUGCUCGAAGCGUAUUCGAGAGGUCCGUGGUUCGAGUCCUGGCGACGGCG
rnacentral:tRNA from 1 species